rnacentral:rRNA from 1 species
UACGUAGGGGGCGAGCGUUAUCCGGAUUUACUGGGCGUAAAGCGCGUUAAGGCGGUCGGCAAAGUUGGUUGUGAAAUCUCAGGGCUCAACCCUGAAAUUGCGACCAAUACUGGUCGACUAGAGUGCAAGAGAGGAAGGUGGAAUUCCCGGUGUAGUAGUGAAAUGCGUAGAUAUCGGGAGGAACACCAGUGGCGAAGGCGGCCUUCUGGCUUGUAACUGACGCUGUAGCGCGAAAGCGUGGGGAGCGAACCGGG